AUUGGUACAUGACAAAACACCCCAAUGAUAACUUAUUUUGUUUAUAAGUCUGUACUUGGGUGGGGCUCAGGAAGGAAGGGUGGUCUUCGCUCUUGGCAGGUUGGUUCGCUGGACGUUCACUGAAAUUCUCUGAAGCUCACCUUCAGUCCCAGAGAACCCAGUUCUAAGACAUCUCCCUCAGUUAUCUGGCAGUGGCUGCUGGGAGCUGCUCAGGGGCUGCAGCCUGCAACUUUGGUUCUUUUCCACAUGGCCUAGAUUUCCUCACAGUAGGGUGGCUAGGUUCCAUGGAUAAAAUCCCAGUGAGAGCACGAGGUGGAAGCCGCGGGAACGUUUACCGCCUCAGGAGUCACUUCUGAACACAAGUUCAGAAGGGGCCAUUGCAACCUGCCUUUGGAUGGAGGAGGACCAAGUUUGUGGGAGAACAGGGAACGGCCUGAAUGAUGCCAUCUUCCUUUUCCUGAAUCACGUCUCCACCCGGAAGCCUUGGUCUCUGGAGAAUGAGGUGACUGUGAACCAGCUGACGUGGGUCUGGUCAGUAUGAACUCCUACCCAUGAGACAUCUCUCUGGCUCUGAGGUCGGUUUCAUAGCAUUGUUACCUCUUCAUCUUUCAGACAAGGAAGCAGAAAUCCAGCAACUUGAAAUGAAAUCACUUGCCAAAGCUCACCUCCCCACUCCCUGCCACAUAUCCCACCCAGGAAACUUUUCUGAAACUGUGGGUCUACUCCAAAGCCUGGGUUCUCAACUGCACACACCCCACCCAGGAAACUUUUCUGAAGCUGUGGGUCUGCUCCAAAGCCUGGGAUUUCAACUGUUGCUUUGUGCCCAGCUACGGAGAAGUGGCUAUUGCUCAUCUUUCCAGGAUGAGGAUUUGUGGGGAGUGGGGUGUACCUGGAAGGAGGCUAAUAAAUGUAGAAUCUGAGCCACAAGGGUUUGCGGCUUAUGUCAUCCUGGUUGUAUUAAGGUCAAGAAAUAAAACAGCCUUUUCCUCACUGGGAUGCUUUUUGGGUGGUACUGGGUCAUUCCCACACAUUUUUUUUUUUUUAGCCCCUGAUUCUCUUGUCCCUGUCUUUUUUGAUGGAAACCCAG